AUUGAACGCUGGCGGCAGGCUUAACACAUGCAAGUCGAGCGGGGUGAUGGUGCUUGCACUAUCACUUAGCGGCGGACGGGUGAGUAAUGCUUAGGAAUCUGCCUAUUAGUGGGGGACUACAUCUCGAAAGGGAUGCUAAUACCGCAUACGUCCUACGGGAGAAAGCAGGGGAUCACUUGUGACCUUGCGCUAGUAGAUGAGCCUAAGUCGGAUUAGCUAGUUGGUGGGGUAAAGACCUACCAAGGCGACGAUCUGUAGCGGGUCUGAGAGGAUAAUCCGCCACACUGGGACUGAGGCACGGCCCAGAAUCCUACGGGAGGCAGCAGUGGGGAAUAUUGGACAAUGGGGGGAACCCUGAUCCAGCCAUGCCGCGUGUGUGAAGAAGGCCUUAUGGUUGUAAAGCACUUUAAGCGAGGAGGAGGCUCUUUUGGUUAAUACCCAAGAUGAGUGGACGUUACUCGCAGAAUAAACACCGGCUAACUCUGUGCCAGCCGCCGCCGUAA
rnacentral:rRNA from 1 species